UCUAUUUUUUGGUUUUCUCUGAUCAGUUUCCUAAAUGUUUAUCACUAAUGUUUGAUGUUGUCCAGCAUGAAUGGGAUUUGAAACAGUAUAUAUCUGUGAUGUGAUUUGUGAGGAUGUAAAUGAGUGUGUGUAAAGCGGAUUCUCUGCUCUUGUUAAUUGAAUCGGAUUUCUUCUAGUUUUAAAUCCACAGAAACUCUAUAAGGGGUUUAUCUGAGCAGAUAUAAAGAGACACACACUGUAUAACACACUCUAUUUCAACCUUUAAUAUCUGUUUCAUAUCUUCACAUGAAACAUCAAACUGUCGGAAUAUCUGAAGAAUGAAGUAAAACAGCAGCUCAAGAUCUCAGAUGUCCUUCAUCAUCAUCAUCAUCAUCAUCAUCACGACCAGAAUCAAGAUUCUCAUCAAGACUUCAGAAAAAGUUGAUUCAUCACACACAUCAUGGCCGUUCAGGACUCAUUAAAUAACAGCACAUGGGAAGUUGACAGAUAACAUAGACAUCAACGUUCUGUUAUUCAACAUUAAGAUUUUAGAGUUCCUCACACUGAAGAUGAAGAUAUGUCUCCUUCACCGCUGCUCAAAAACAUGUUUCCGACAAAGAGAUUCUAAAGUGAAUUUUUCCAAUUAUCUGUGUCAUAAAACACGUAAAACAGCACAGAACAAACUUCUAUUCUGAGGUGUUUAAUGAUGCUUGUAACUUGUUUUUGGUGAAAAAUAACAAGUGUAAUUCCAGCUCAAUGGCUGAUAAGAUUCUAUUGGAGCUGUAAAGUUGUAUAAAUCAGAAUUUUAUGGGCGUUUUAGUGUAUACAGCGUUACAUCGUCAUGGCAACGGAGUUGUAAAAUUGUCUAUAACUUUACACAGAUGUGGUUAGUAAGUGAUUUUGUCACAGUGAAAUCAUGUUUCAUUGGCCAGCAAGCCAUGUCACCCUGUAGCUCAAGACCGGUUGCCCACUGAAGCUAAGCAGGGUUGAGUCUGGCCAGUACCUGGAUGGGAGACCUCCUGGGGAAACUAAGGUUGCUGCUGGAAGAGGUGUUAGAGAGUCCAGCAGGGGGUGUUCACCCUGCUAUCUGUGCAGGUCCUAAUGCCCCAGUAUAGUGACGGAGACACUAUACUGUAAAAAGACACUGUCUUUUGGAUGAGACGUUAAUCUGAGGUCCUGACUGUCUGUGGUCAUUAAAAAUCCCAGAGCACUUUUUGUUAAGAGUAGGGGUGUAUCCCUGGUGUCCUGGCCAAAUUCCCCCCAUUGGCCCUUAUCAAUCAUGGCCUCCUAAUUAUCCCUAUCCAUUAAUUGACCGUAUCACUCUACUCUCUCCUCUCCAUCAAUAGCUGGUGUGUGGUGAGUGUACUGGUGCACUAUGGCUGCCGUCGCAUCAUACUGGUGGAGGUUUGAGGAGAUUCCCCUGUUCACUGUGUAAAACACUUUGAAAACACUAUAGAAAUGUAACAUUCAUGUUAACACACAUAUUGUUUAUGUCUUGUGUCUAUACUUCUGAAACAGUGAGUAUUUUAAUGUUUACAGAUUGACCCCAUUGACUUCCAUUGUAAGUGUCUCACUGGAACACACAUUUAAAGAAAAGGAGGGACGAGUUGAAAUGUAAUUUUUGUGUUUAUCAAUAUUAUAACACACAUGCUGUCGAUUGAGCUCAACUUGUAUUGAACCCGGAAUAUUCCUUUAAUUACCAAAACACAAUACCAUAAAUCAAAUUCAUAUUUAUUCAUGUUUUUUUACACAGUGUAAAUCAGGUAAGGUCCAUGUUUUUCCAACUAAAGAAAUGCUUAAGAUCAGUGUAAUAGACAAUUGUGAUUAAAUAUUGUUGUUUAAAUUCUGAGAAUUCUAAUAAAA